AGAGUUUGAUCCUGGCUCAGGACGAACGCUGGCGGCACGCUUAACACAUGCAAGUCGAACGAGAGAAGAGGAGCUUGCUUUUCUGAUCUAGUGGCGGACGGGUGAGUAACACGUGAGCAAUCUGCCUUUCAGAGGGGGAUACCGAUUGGAAACGAUCGUUAAUACCGCAUAACAUAAUUGAACCGCAUGAUUUGAUUAUCAAAGAUUUAUCGCUGAAAGAUGAGCUCGCGUCUGAUUAGCUAGUUGGUAAGGUAACGGCAUACCAAGGCGACGAUCAGUAGCCGGACUGAGAGGUUGAUCGGCCACAUUGGGACUGAGACACGGCCCAGACUCCUACGGGAGGCAGCAGUGGGGAAUAUUGCACAAUGGAGGAAACUCUGAUGCAGCGAUGCCGCGUGAGGGAAGAAGGUUUUAGGAUUGUAAACCUCUGUCUUCAGGGACGAAAAAAGACGGUACCUGAGGAGGAAGCUCCGGCUAACUACGUGCCAGCAGCCGCGGUAAUACGUAGGGAGCGAGCGUUGUCCGGAAUUACUGGGUGUAAAGGGAGCGUAGGCGGGAUCGCAAGUCAGAUGUGAAAACUAUGGGCUUAACCCAUAAACUGCAUUUGAAACUGUGGUUCUUGAGUGAAGUAGAGGUAAGCGGAAUUCCUAGUGUAGCGGUGAAAUGCGUAGAUAUUAGGAGUAACAUCAGUGGCGAAGGCGGCUUACUGGGCUUUAACUGACGCUGAGGCUCGAAAGCGUGGGGAGCAAACAGGAUUAGAUACCCUGGUAGUCCACGCCGUAAACGAUGAUUACUAGGUGUGGGGGGACUGACCCCUUCCGUGCCGCAGCAAACGCAAUAAGUAAUCCACCUGGGGAGUACGACCGCAAGGUUGAAACUCAAAGGAAUUGACGGGGGCCCGCACAAGCAGUGGAGUAUGUGGAUUAAUUCGAAGCAACGCGAAGAACCUUACCAGGUCUUGACAUCGUAUGCAUAGCUCAGAGAUGAGUGAAAUCUCUUCGGAGACAUAUAGACAGGUGGUGCAUGGUUGUCGUCAGCUCGUGUCGUGAGAUGUUGGGUUAAGUCCCGCAACGAGCGCAACCCUUACUGUUAGUUGCUACGCAAGAGCACUCUAGCAGGACUGCCGUUGACAAAACGGAGGAAGGUGGGGAUGACGUCAAAUCAUCAUGCCCCUUAUGACCUGGGCCUCACACGUACUACAAUGGCUGUCAACAGAGGGAAGCAAAGCCGCGAGGUGGAGCGAACCCCUAAAAGCAGUCUUAGUUCGGAUUGUAGGCUGCAACCCGCCUACAUGAAGUCGGAAUUGCUAGUAAUCGCAGAUCAGCAUGCUGCGGUGAAUACGUUCCCGGGCCUUGUACACACCGCCCGUCACGCCAUGGGAGUCGGUAACACCCGAAGCCUGUAGUCUAACCGCAAGGAGGACGCAGUCGAAGGUGGGAUUGAUGACUGGGGUGAAGUCGGAACAAGGUA
rnacentral:rRNA from 1 species